rnacentral:rRNA from 1 species
UCGAUUGAGUUUGAUCAUGGCUCAGAUUGAACGCUGGCGGCAUGCUUUACACAUGCAAGUCGAGCGGCAGCGCGGGGCUCAGGCAACUGAGCCCUGGCGGCGAGCGGCGAACGGGUGAGUAAUACAUCGGAACGUGUCCCGUAGUGGGGGAUAGCCCGGCGAAAGCCGGAUUAAUACCGCAUAUGCUCUACGGAGGAAAGUGGGGGACUCGCAAGGGCCUCACGCUAUGGGAGCGGCCGAUGUCCGAUUAGCUUGUUGGCGGGGUAAUGGCCCACCAAGGCGACGAUCGGUAGCUGGUCUGAGAGGAUGAUCAGCCACACUGGGACUGAGACACGGCCCAGACUCCUACGGGAGGCAGCAGUGGGGAAUUUUGGACAAUGGGGGCAACCCUGAUCCAGCCAUGCCGCGUGCGGGAAGAAGGCCUUCGGGUUGUAAACCGCUUUUGGUCGGAAAGAAAAGGCGCUUUCUAAUAUGAGGCGCUCUUGACGGUACCGGCAGAAUAAGCACCGGCUAACUACGUGCCAGCAGCCGCGGUAAUACGUAGGGUGCGAGCGUUAAUCGGAAUUACUGGGCGUAAAGCGUGCGCAGGCGGUUCUCCAAGUCCGUUGUGAAAGCCCCGGGCUCAACCUGGGAAUGGCAGUGGAAACUAGGGGACUUGAAUCUGGCAGAGGGGGGUGGAAUUCCACGUGUAGCAGUGAAAUGC